rnacentral:lncRNA from 1 species
UAUUUCUUUAUCAGAUGGUGUACCCUUUUCUUCUUCUUUCUCUUUUUCAACUCAUCCUUCAUCGGCUACCUCACAAUCCUGUUUGACUUCUCUUUCAAUUUUCGUAUCUUUAUGACUAUCUAACAUAUUUUCGUAGAAAUCCUCACCAGAUCUCAGUUUUAAUAUUAAUUGGCUAGAUACUUGACCAAGUUGCAUCUCU